AAAGCCGUUUUUGAUCAGUUGGUUGUAACCCACAAAAUCCUUCGGAAGGCCAGAGGAAACCUGGAGCUCAGGCCCGGGGGUGCUCAUCCAGGAACAUCCGGUCCCAGCAGACCAGGCUCCUGAGGAGAACUUGCAGCCAAUAAAGCUUGUGUUUCCCCGCCGAG